UACAGGGGGGGCAAGCGUUGUUCGGAAUUACUGGGCGUAAAGGGUUUGUAGGUGGCCACUUAAGUCAGACGUGAAAUCCCUCAGCUUAACUGGGGAACUGCGUCUGAUACUGAGUGGCUUGAGUGCAGGAGAGGAACGCGGAAUUCCAGGUGUAGCGGUGAAAUGCGUAAAUAUCUGGAGGAACACCGGUGGCGAAGGCGGCGUUCUGGACUAAUACUGACGCUGAGGCGCGAAAGCUAGGGGAGCAAACGGG
rnacentral:rRNA from 1 species